ACGGGUGAGUAACACGUAUCCAACCUGCCGUCUACUCUUGGACAGCCUUCUGAAAGGAAGAUUAAUACAAGAUGGCAUCAUGAGUCCGCAUGUUCACAUGAUUAAAGGUAUUCCGGUAGACGAUGGGGAUGCGUUCCAUUAGAUAGUAGGCGGGGUAACGGCCCACCUAGUCUUCGAUGGAUGGGGGUUCUGAGAGGAAGGUCCCCCACAUUGGAACUGAGACACGGUCCAA
rnacentral:rRNA from 1 species